AUAAUGGGUCAGCGACUUAUAUUCUGUAGCAAGGUUAACCGAAUAGGGGAGCCGAAGGGAAACCGAGUCUUAACUGGGCGUUAAGUUGCAGGGUAUAGACCCGAAACCCGGUGAUCUAGCCAUGGGCAGGUUGAAGGUUGGGUAACACUAACUGGAGGACCGAACCGACUAAUGUUGAAAAAUUAGCGGAUGACUUGUGGCUGGGGGUGAAAGGCCAAUCAAACCGGGAGAUAGCUGGUUCUCCCCGAAAGCUAUUUAGGUAGCGCCUCGUGAAUUCAUCUCCGGGGGUAGAGCACUGUUUCGGCAAGGGGGUCAUCCCGACUUACCAACCCGAUGCAAACUGCGAAUACCGGAGAAUGUUAUCACGGGAGACACACGGCGGGUGCUAACGUCCGUCGUGAAGAGGGAAACAACCCAGACCGCCAGCUAAGGUCCCAAAGUCAUGGUUAAGUGGGAAACGAUGUGGGAAGGCCCAGACAGCCAGGAUGUUGGCUUAGAAGCAGCCAUCAUUUAAAGAAAGCGUAAUAGCUCACUGGUCGAGUCGGCCUGCGCGGAAGAUGUAACGGGGCUAAACCAUGCACCGAAGCUGCGGCAGCGACGCUGA
rnacentral:rRNA from 1 species